UACGGAGGGUGCAAGCGUUAAUCGGAAUUACUGGGCGUAAAGCGUGCGCAGGCGGUUCGGUAAGACAGAUGUGAAAUCCCCGGGCUUAACCUGGGAACUGCAUUUGUGACUGGCGGGCUAGAGUUUGGCAGAGGGGGGUAGAAUUCCACGUGUAGCAGUGAAAUGCGUAGAUAUGUGGAGGAACACCGAUGGCGAAGGCAGCCCCCUGGGUCAAGACUGACGCUCAUGCACGAAAGCGUGGGGAGCAAACAGG
rnacentral:rRNA from 1 species